rnacentral:rRNA from 1 species
GACGAACGCUGGCGGCGUGCCUAAUACAUGCAAGUUGAGCGCUGAAGGUUGGUACUUGUACCAACUGGAUGAGCAGCGAACGGGUGAGUAACGCGUGGGGAAUCUGCCUUUGAGCGGGGGACAACAUUUGGAAACAAAUGCUAAUACCGCAUAAAAACUUUAAACACAAGUUUUAAGUUUGAAAGAUGCAAUUGCAUCACUCAAAGAUGAUCCCGCGUUGUAUUAGCUAGUUGGUGAGGUAAAGGCUCACCAAGGCGAUGAUACAUAGCCGACCUGAGAGGGUGAUCGGCCACAUUGGGACUGAGACACGGCCCAAACGCCUACGGGAGGCAGCAGUAGGGAAUCGUCGGCAAUGGACGAAAGUCUGACCGAGCAACGCCGAGGGAGUGAAGAAGGUUUUCGGAUCGUAAAACUCGGUUGGUAGAGAAGAACGUUGGUGAGAGUGGAAAGCUCAUCAAGUGACGGUAACUACCCAGAAAGGGACGGCUAACUACGUG